GGUUUAUAGAAAGAUAAGAAGGUAGAGCUAGCAAAAAUAAUUUUUAAAGAGAGAAAUUUUUUUACACCAUAAGCAGAGAUAAUAAAUUUUGAUAUAAAUCAGCUUUAAAUAAAUGUAGCGAAAUAGAACACAGGAGGUAUAAAUCAUUCUUACAUUUAUUGCCUAAUUCUAAUUCUGUUAUUGGAAAGAGUAAUACUCUUGUUGUUUCUAAUUGAUAUUCUGUGUUGGUACAGAACAACAUAAUUUGGCUCUGCUUUUUCAUUUGCAAUGACAGAUGAAGUAAGGGCUAUUUUCAAGAAAAAUAGAUUUCAGACUUUCCUAGAAGACUGCAAAUAACCCACUAAAAUAUAAAACUAUAUCUAUUUAGUUUAAUUAAUAUGUAUAUUUAAUAAAUACUUCCUACAAAUUAUUAGUCAUUUCUUAAAUAUUAUCAUUGGAUUAUAUACCUAGGAAAGGCAUAUAAAGAACAGGCAUAUAUUUGGACAGACAUCUGGGGGGGAGGGGGGCGGAACAAAUAGAUGUUGAAAGACAACUGAAAAACAAGGCUAGCAUUAUCUUGAAAUGAGAGCUGAUAGUAGUAUAUGGAGGGAUGUCACAAGUUGAAAGAUGACAGAACACAAUUUUAAAACAAAUACUUCUUCUGAAAAACAUUAUAAUUGAAAUAAUUAUAAUGUCUAUUUUCUUCAUGCUUUUGUUUCACUUAUGUCACCUUCACUUCUUAAAUCACUUCUAAUACUCCAAUAACUGGAUGUUUCCAAGGACUCCAUUUUUGAGAUUUUCACGUCAUGUUUUCCUCUAUAUCAGUACCAACUCCAAAAUGCACAUGUGCUGUGCAUAAAGACUCUUGCGAAAUACAGGUGUUACACUAAUGUCUAUAUAUUGUACCCAGUUAUGGUCUGAUUAUGUACCUGAUUAUGAUCCGAUUUCUGCAUGGUUCUGUGUGGAGCCAGAAUCCGAGCUUGAUGGUCUUUAUUUGCUCCUUCCAACUCAGGAAACCCUAUGAUUUUAUGAUUCUAUACUUCACCACAAAUAACAGCAUGUGAGAACUAGUGUCAUGGUAAUUCCUGUAUCUGACAGCUGUCAGCUUAUUUUACAAAGGCAACAGAUCUGUAAGUGCUAUAGAAGCCCUCAAGUUUGAAUUGUAACAAAAAUCCUUCUGAACAAAGAAGGGCUCUCUAAUACACUGGCACAUAUCAACAAAAAAUUAUGUCCUGCACUUUCAGAUAGGUGAUAGAGACACAGAUAUUUUGUUUUAAAUGGGUUUGAAGUUGUGUGGAAACUGUUGAGUCAUGGCCUGAACCACUGAUUAAUCACCUGAGGAAAGGACUGAAUCAGCCUUGGGAGCACAGGUGAAGACAAUUCAGCUGUGUGACCAGAAGAACCCAUUUAAGAGCUGACUGCCACUGGGGAAGGAUCUCUUUCUGGAGAUAAUUCCUCUUUGGAGUUUUCUACCACGAGCCUAUGUCCUUGGAUACAUUCUACAGGCUGACAGCUGAAAUUAAUGAAUUUAGCUCCCAGUUUCUUUUGGAAUGAAGGUAGGUGUCAUGUAAUUUGAGUGAAAGGGAAUGGUGGAAUUGAAAGCUCCUGUAGAUUUGUAUGUGGCCGCUAGAUGAUGCUAUAUAGCUUUUCAAUCUCUCCAUUACUUUCACAAGUAACUGAAAAAAAAAUAAAAAUAAAAAUGGGAAGACUAGAUUAAAAUUUAUUUUU